AUUUAUCCUGCAUGGCAAUGCGUUAUAGUCUGUUUUAAGGAAUCUUUUGUGCUUCUGUGCAUAUUCCUACUGCAGGCAAAGUGCUUGAGGAAGGAGCCUGUGCAGGCAGUCGGUAGUGUAGUAGCUGGCUCACGCGUAUGGAUUAGACUCGUGAGGUCAGAGGAGCUGUGUGCUGCUCUGUGCUGGUGUGGGGGGGAAGAGUGGAUUUUUCUACCCAAGUGAGUAGCGAUUCAGGCAGAAUCAUCCCUCAGCUCUUGUAAUUCUGAUGUGUUUUGAUGUGAAAGCUGCUACUGUCUAAGAUACGUGGAUCUUCUGACAUUUGUAGUGGACUGAGGAAUGCUUUUACUUGCUGCUGAGCCUGACUAUAACUGUAUCACUGUAGGACAGUAACGAUGGGGGCUCGAGCAACGGAAACAACUCGGGAACUGGAAAGCACCUCUGUAAAGUAUCAAAUAGGAGGACAUGCAGAGAAAAUGUGGCAGCGGCUCAAAGGAAUAAUCAGCAUUGCCGGAGCUGUUCCAUCAUUCCUGCCAAUAUAUGUGGCUUUGGAUACAGUGACAUGCUCACUGAAGCGGUCAAGCUUGUUUCUUCUCUCUUACUUCCCCAGCCUGAUUUGGAAAGAAGAAUUACCUUCAGCCCAGAUUGUUUGAAGGAAUUUGGAUAAUUUCAAGGUUCUGGUUUAUUGGCACAGAUAAAGAGAGAACAGAUUGUAGCAUGCAGCAAGAGUGGACUGUCAGAGCUGUGGUGCAAGUAUCAAACUCACUGCUGAAGCUAGGAUUUUGAGAAACAAAUCUCUAAGUUGUGUUGAAAAUAUUUUCCUUCACUGAAGCUGACAAAGGAAAGGAAAUAUUGUCCCCAGUGCCAUUAACUUCACUGCCAGUGCUGAAGCUCUGCUAAUAACACGCAUUGCCUCCCUCCCUCUGUGCAACUGCAACAAUAGAGCAUGCUGAAUCAAAGAGUCAGGGUUUUAUGUUUGCUUGGCACCAUGCUAACUUAAUCAAGAAUGAACUUGCUCAAGGAUUUUUUCCAUAGAAAUGGGACAAGACAUGCUGGUACCACGCCCAGAGUAUGACUCACAAGGAGAAAGCAGCAGAGAAGAGUGUUUUUUUCCUUUCACAAAAUCCCUCACUUCCUUUCAAGGUUAUGCACUUGUUUUUAUUUCUAAAUGUGUUAUUUGAUUCUCUUCUUAUUAAUGUUUGUAAAAAUAGUCUUAAAGGUAGAUGACAGUAAUAUUUCUUUAGCAGGUUGUUCUCCCCUCCUUUUUUCUUGCAGGAUGCAUACUACAUUCCUUCUAUGUUUUGUCACUUCAACACAACGUGAAAUCCUCAAUCCUGACAUGAUUGCAAGUGCUCUUGACUCCUCAUUAAUGGGUUGAUUCUAGCAAAUCAGACCAAAAGAUAUGAAUAAAAUCUCUACCAGCAUUCA
rnacentral:lncRNA from 1 species